rnacentral:rRNA from 1 species
UCACACCACCAACGCCCGGGCAUUACGAGCCCAGCUUAAAACCCAAAGGACUUGACGGUGUCCCACCCAACUAGAGGAGCCUGUUUUAUAAUCGAUAACCCCCAACACACCCAACCCUACCUUGCCACUCAGCCUGAAUACCUCCGUCGUAAGCUUACCAUAUGAAUGCCAACAGUAAGUAUAAUGGUCUUAACACCAAUACGUCAGGUCAAGGUGCAGCUCACGAUGGGGAANGCAAUGGGCUACAAUUUCUAGCAUAGAACAUACGAAAUACUACAUGAAACACAGAUAUGAAGGCGGAUUUAGUAGUAAAAGGG